AGCGAACGCUGGCGGCAGGCUUAACACAUGCAAGUCGAGCGGCCGUAGCAAUACGGCAGCGGCAGACGGGAGAGUAACACGUGGGAACGUACCCUUCAGUACGGAACAACCAAGGGAAACUUUGGCUAAUACCGUAUACGUCCGUAAGGAGAAAGAUUUAUCGCUGAAGGAUCGGCCCGCGUCUGAUUAGCUAGUUGGUGAGGUAACGGCUCACCAAGGCGACGAUCAGUAGCUGGUCUGAGAGGAUGAUCAGCCUCACUGGGACUGAGACACGGCCCAGACUCCUACGGGAGGCAGCAGUGGGGAAUAUUGGACAAUGGGCGCAAGCCUGAUCCAGCCAUGCCGUGUGGAUGAUGAAGGCCCUAGGGUUGUAAAGUCCUUUUAACGGGGAAGAUAAUGACGGUACCCGUAGAAUAAGCCCCGGCUAACUUCGUGCCAGCAGCCGCCGUAAUAC
rnacentral:rRNA from 1 species